CUAGGUGUGCGUUGGUCGGUUGGCGUUCUGCGUUCCCUGGCGACCUGUGCGGGGAGGCUGUUGUCCUGUCCGUUAGGACUGCCCCGUGUUGAGUGGGCGGCAUCUCAGCGUCCACAUGAGCCAGGGGCAUCAUGGCUGUAGUUGUCGCGGUGGGCUCAUGGACGUCGCCGGACGUGCCACACUCAGGAAGAGUGGAAGGAGCCAUGUCCAGAAAAGGUGGAAAGACUAUGUUCAGUGCACAGAGGAUGCCUGGGACUCAUUUUGCUAUUUCAAAGUUCCUUUGCGAAAGAACUUUGGAAGUGAUGCAACUCCAGAAGAAUCUUUGGAUCUUCUUUUUAAAAAUGUGUGACAACAAAAUGAGCAGCUUGAACUGAUUGUUGAUUUGACAUGUAUGAAGCACUCCUAUAAAGCAAAGGCAGGGUCUUUUCUUCCUCUACUUGAAACUUGCAUUAGUCAGUCUGUGUGGUCCAGCCAGACAACAAUGGCUGUCUACCAGUGGAAAGUCCCAGAAUCCAGUAGAUGUCUCCUCUGGGCUUCAGUAUACAAUGGAAUCCCAAAGAACUGGGGUUUACUACCAGUGAGGGAAUGGACUUGCCAGUGAGAGCAAGCGGACAAAGAGCUGCAGCUUCCUUCUUCCAUGUCUUUUAGAUAGGCUGCCACCAGAAGAUGUGGCUGAGAUUUAAGGUGAAUUUUCCUACCUCCAAAGAUCUGGAUUUUGGGCAGCAAAGCUGAGAAAACCUAUUUCUACAAUCUACUGCAUCCUAGAUACACGGUUAUUAUGGAUUUCUAGGAAGGUGAGUGAAAAGGCUGAACUUCCAAGUGCCUCAGAAAGGACCAUAAGCCUCAUCAUCUCUAUGUUCUGACUGCUGACAUGGCCCUUAUUUCUUCUUUGAUGUGUACACAGAACACAUGUCCUCUACGUGGGCAGGACCAUAUUUCCUCCAAGCCAUAAGUUGUUAGUUUAAAAAAUCCAGUUGUAAAAUGGGAACAUGAGAAAAAUGCUAAGUCAUUGAUUUGCCCUCCAUGAGGCCCUCUUUCCUGAGGGUACCACAAAGGGGACAUAAAGUCUUCUUCAACCUCUGGCCACAGCUGACUGGAUGUUGAGACAUAGAAUUUAGUGUCAACCUGACUGGAGCAUUAUUUCUGGAUGUAGCCAUGAGGAAUUUCUAAGAAAACUGGUAUGUAUGUGGGUGCCUGGGCUCUGUGGGCAAGGUCUACUUUCAACAUAGGUGGACAGCAUGCAGCCAAUCUGGAGCUGCAUGGGACAGACAAGCAGAGAAGAAAUUUCCCCUGUGUCUCUCCUGGAACAGACAUACUUCUCCCCUGUCUUUAGACAUUGGAAUUCCAAGUCCUCUAGGCUCUGGGUUCUGGGUUGUGGACUUGUCCUCGAACCUCAGAUCUCUGGCCUCAGACUGAGACUCACACAAGUGGCUUCCCUGGUCUGUGUUUUUGAGACAUCUACUGAACCAAGUUACAAGUAUUGCAGAGCUCCCGCCUUCAGAAAGCCUGUUGAGGGGAUGCUCAGCCAUAUGGGCCAAUCCCUCUAAGAGCUGUUGGCCCAGAGGAACUUCACUUAGAUUUCAAAAGAUGCUGUGGCCAGCCUCAGUGCCAACACAGAGACUGUCUCAAGAGAAGAUCUCCACAGAACGUCUACUCUCAGGCAAAGUGUAGGAGUGUGGCGGUGGGAGCCCGUAGGUAACUCUAUGGUGACCAGUGUGCAUCUGCAGCCUGGAAAGGCUGCAGUCCUGGCACUGAGCCUAGCAAAGCCAUAGUAGACAGAGUUCUGAACUUAAUUAGAACUAGUCACCUCCUUGCCUGUUUCUCCCUUCUGAAUGGAACUGAACAUUUUUCUCCUGAACCUCCAUUGAUUUUGCCAGUGUGUAGACUGCCCAGUGCACAGGCUCACAGCCAAAGCAUGUUGACUCUACCUGUAUCUGGAAAUGUGUGGAUUGCUGACUUCACAGGCUCCCAGAUGAAAUGAGGACCACCUCUACAUGAGAGUUGUUCUUUGAUAUUUAUCUGCCUUUGUUAGUGUGGUACUCUUUAUAGCUAGAUUGUCUGGUGCGGAUAUGCUGGAGGCCACCUUCUUUAGAAUAACACUUGUCCAUCCUGAAAGGGUGAUGCCAGUGUGUUGGGGGCCACAUCUUUUUAAAUGGUGCUAUCCCUAGUUCAAGUUACACCUUCCAGGCAUCUUCUACACCAUGCACCAGUAGUGGAUUGUUGGGGUGUGCUUUAUAUAGGGAGCUUCAGUCUUAGUGGAUGAUCAUAAUGUGAUGAAGCCUACCUCUUCACAGGGAUUUUCUGCAUCAGCUACCACCGGCCUAGUUGGACCAGAGUCCACCUUGAUGAAAUCCCUUGACAGUUGUUUCAAUUUUUUCAGUUCAUACCGGAGGUGUACUUCCUCUUCUUUCUUCUUCUGCAUAGAAAAAGAAAAAUACUCAGGCUUAUAGUUCAUAUCUCAAAAAAGGUCUCAGCAUGGAUAUGAACCAAAGUGUAGUUUUGCUCUGGUAUGAUUUGCUAGCACAUAAUCCAUGCUCUCCUACAUACCCCAAGAGCUAUGGAGCACAGUCUCAAUAUUUCCAAUACCCCACUGGACGUGUGUGUGUGUGUGUGUGUGUGUGUGUGUGUGUGUGUGUGUGUGUGUAUGUGUGUACGCAUGUUAGUGUGGAGCUCAGUUAUCAAUCUUUUGUUGUGGACUACCUCAGUUUUUGGGGGAGAGUCUUUUAUUGGUAUUGAAACUUAACCCACUUGGUAAUGCUUACUGGUUAGCAUACACCAAGGAUCAGCCUGUCUCUUCCAUCCCAGUGCUGGGAUUACAAGUGUGCACCACCCUCCUGCUUUAUUUUUAUCAUUAUUAUCAUUAUUAUUGCUGAUACUUGUGUUCAGGGCCUAGAGCUCAGCUCCUCAUGCUUGCCUGACAAGCACUUUAUGGCCUGAGGAUCUCUUAGACCUGCACUUGACUCUUUCCUGAAGUCUUGAUGCACCUUCAUUGUCUGUAUCCGAUAACCUGUCAUCCACAGUUCCACUCUGUAGCUUUGCCGACAUUGUGUAUUCUGUAUCCCAGGCAAGGCUGACAGUAAAUGUUACACCUGCUGAUCGGCAAUCUCUAGUGAAUUUGAACUGAAAAUAAAGCCUCCAUUUUGUUUCUGAUGCUCACUUUCAGUGACAUUUAAAACAGCACAAAAUACCAAGUAAUAAACUUGGUUUGGAGAUGUAUGAUGCAGAGCUGUUCAGUCCUCUACUGACUGACAACACCAGCUUACAGAAUACCUCGGCAAACAGCUAUAAAUUAGUGUGUAGUUGCCUAUAGUGUGCAUUCUUGUCCAGCUAGGGAGCAUUUCUGAGCCCUGCGUGUUUCUUCACGAGCUAAAACUAACUAUUCCCAACAAGAUAGUACGCAUAGCUCCGGGAAGAUCAUUGACUACAGAUGGUACCAGAUAUGAUCUAAACUUCUUGCUCCAGCCCUGUGAAAAGCCUUAUGUUCUAGUGAGAAUGUUCACUAUGGUUAGGUCUCUUGCUGUAGAUUUAGCAGAAAGGUCACAGAUGUCUGUCCUCAAGUCAUCCUCUUAGACACAGGCUGAAUCUGUAAGAAUCCUCCAUCUCACUAUUGGCCAUUGACUUUUUUGAGGUACUGGCCUAUGUGUCCCCCAAAAGAACCAGUCCAUUAAAAUCACAGACUCCAUUGGUGCAGCACAGCACAGUCCCGGCACAGGCUGAGUAGCUGACACACAAUCCUCUGGUCUGUGAUCUCUGCACUGACCUUGUCUGCCAGAUGCUGUUCAUACUCCUUGGUGUACCUCUUUAGGAGGAGACAUUUCAGGCUGUUGGCUUUGGGAAGAUGAUUUUUCAGUCUGAGAUACAGCACUGAAAUGGCAAAUGAGAACAGUUCUAAAGUCAGAAAAGAGGAGACAGGUCGGGAGAGGCAGCCAUGUCUCACAUGCAGCGACACCCCUGCCUUGCCAUGCUGCUAUCUAUACUGCCCUGCAGGGCCAGCAUGGGCUCCUUUCUCCUGCUCAGUGCUCAGGAUCUGAGGCUUCCGUCUGCCCAGCUCUGUGCUUCUCUGAGGCUUCCAGGUCGGCUGCAGAGACAGGGAAGACCCACCUUGAGGAUGGUCUUUCUUCCAGUGGUAACAGGUGUUUGAUAUUUGGUGUGUCUUUGUACUUUCUCCCCAAAGAGUCUGAGAAAAGAGCAAAAUGACUAAGAUGUACAGAAAAUGUGCAGAUGUCCAAAUGAAUUCCCAAGGAGAUGUGGCCCCUGCACGCAAGGUUCAAAGGUAUCUGGAGUUCAGAGAAGAGGCACACUCUGAAAACCCUUGUCUACCUUCAUCUCCAUUCGUGGAGACAGGCCUGUGAUCUUUUCAAAAACAGGCAUGUGAAUGCAAACUCCACCUAUCUGAGUGCCAUUCCAGCACUCUGGAAGCUGUGGAUGGCAUUAGUGGUCCAGCAGAAUCUAGAGGAAACAGCCCAUACUCCUCUACUUCAAAUCACAAUGUGGAGCUCUGCUUAUAAAAUGCUUUCGGGUGUUAUUUCUCAGCCAGGGAAACACUACCUCAGAUAGCUUUAGGUGAUGUCUGGAGACAUGAGUUUGUCAGAGCUAGGGACUGGGGUGCUGCUGUCACCUAGUAGGGUGCUUCUCCCAGGGAUGCUGCUAACCCUCCACACUCAGAUCUGCUAUACGAAUUCUGUUACAUGUCUAUGGUACAAUUGAAAAGAGUGUUCUUCAGUCACAGAACCAAGAAGUAUUCCCUACCGUGUCAGAAACCAUGCCUGAGAAGACUGAUAAGAAACUCAGUGUGUCAUAACUGAUGGACUGAUAGGAAACUCAGUGUGAGGACUGAUGUACGUGUGUCUGUCUGGGAGGACACAUGUGGAACUGGUUAGAGUCAGUGUCUUAGGGAGGGAGGGAUGGAGAGAGAUUUACUAUGAUCUUCCUUCUGUAAGUCUAGAUGGAAAACAAAAAGAACCCAUGUUCUAGAAUAAAGCCCUGAAAUAUGAGUUACAAGACAUGGGAAGUGUCACUAUAAACUGAAACCUGAGCUCAUUCUUAACCCUGAGUUUGCUCUUCUGCAGAACAGAACUGUAGAGCUCUGUACCUCCUCAGUGCAUACUGCCCUGUGAAGAUCAAGGAAAUUAUGUCAUGGAAAUCCCUCCUGAUCCCCCAAACUCAUUAGAGUCUGGGCAACUCUUUAGAUCCUGGAAUACCAAAGUGGAAACUAGACAUGACAGAUAUGACCUUUCCCAUCAUCCCCUUCCUCAGCCAUACGGCACUCUUGUCCCUGGGGCUUUGGGAAUCAUUUCUUGAUAACAGCCUUGAGACCCUGUAUUUAUGCUGCUUACUCAAAAUGGUGAACAGCUCCGGAAGAGUUACUGGGAUGAAUUGCUCAGACAACAGGUGGUCUGAAGUCAGCUGGUGUCUUGUAUGAUGAUACUGAAGGCUAAGAUGGGAGCCUUUUUCCUGUGCCCCUCAAAAGGCCACAUGAGUACAGACACAUCGGCCUCACACCAGCAAUGAUCCUGUAGCUGCCUGCCUGAGCAGAGAAAGGGCACUCACAAACAUUCAACACUUCAGACCCAUCCUGCCUAACUGCAAUUCCUUUCACUAACAGCUGUCUCACGUGGGCACAGCCUGAGAACUAAGUGGUCCCGCUCAUGAAAUUCUUGAGUCAUGUCAAAACCACCUUCAGUCCUUGUGUAUUUGAAUGACAAGUUAUUUGGGACCUGAUUAAUAUGGACGACACUGUCAAGUUUCCACGGGGUGGGCAACAGCAAGCAGCAUGGGUAUGAGGGCAGAAGACGUGCAGUGUCAGUCACAGGAAAGGAAAUGAAAACUGCGCAUUUGUUAGAUGAGGAACGCCUCCUUUCUGUUGCCUGUUCUGUAAUGGGCUGAUGCCAUGGAGGUGAUGCUCUUUCCAAGGCUUAAGCAGCAAGCGCAAGAAAAGCCUUGGUUAAAUCCGACUUUGGGGCUUUGCUAAGUAAAAUCCUCAGUCACUCUUUUGGUGGGACACUGAUGUCUUGAUGCUCGGGGGCAGAGAUUGUUCAUUCUGAGACUGAAAAGAGAAAAGAUGUAACAUUCAAGCCUGGCUCUUUCCACCCCAGGGGUUUAGCACAGAGUUCUAUCUCCAGCAUCUUAUACUUGGUUUGGUGAUACAUGCCCAUAGUCCAAGUGUUGGGAGGAGGAAGCAAGAGGAUCGGAAGUUCUCAGCCUUGGCUACAUAGCAAGUUUGAGGCUGAUUGAGUUGUGAGAGAUCUUGCCUUGGAAAGAUAAGAGUGUGAAAGGAAGGACAGAAGACAAGCGGGGCCCCUUAAUACCUAGUGGUACUCUUAACAUUCUACCACCUUGUAAAAGAACUAGGCUGGGUAUUAAACCCGAAACAGAUGGAUGUGUGUGAGCAUCCCCAAUCCAAAUACACCCUUGCAAGGGUCAUUUCAUGGAAAUUUGAUGCUUACAUAAGUAUGCAGUUCCUAUGUUCCCUUCCUUUUAGGCAGAUGCUGCUUCCUGCUCUGGUCGUCAGCUUCUACAAUCAGCUUCUCUAGCAAUUUUCUGCCCAUAGCUCCUGCACUAAAUUCCAGCCUGUACUCCCCAUGUCUACCUUUUAUGUUAGUUUUGUGUUCUGGUGCUCUACUGAAAUUAUUGAUCACACCCAAGAGUUUUUGGGUGGAGUCUUUAGGUAUCACAUACAGAAUCCUACCCUGUGCAAAUAAGGACACUGAUUUAUUUGUCUCCCUUUCAUUUCUUUCACUUGUCUUACUGCUUAGACUUCAUGUACAAUGGUUAAUGAGAGUGGAGAAAGUGGCAUUCUUAUUUUGUUUUGGAUUUUAGUAAGAAUAGUUUUUCCCAUUUGGUGUAGUACUGGAUAUUGGUUUGUAAUGUAUAGCUGAUACUAUAUUGAAAUAUGUUCCUUCUAUUCCAAGUAUCUUAGGCUAUCAUCAAGGGACACUGAAUUUUAUCAAAAGAUUUUGGUGCAUGAACUGAGAUAACCAAUUUCUGUCCUUGAGUCCAUUUAUUUGACCGUUUACAUUCAUUGCCUUGUAUAUGUUGAACCAUCACUGUACCUCUGGAAUGUUUUGAUGUUUUCUUGCAUUCCAUUUGCAAGUAUUUCAUGAGCAAUUUUUUUUUGCAUCUUUGUUCAUCAUUAAGUGAAUUUUCUUAGGCCAAUUUAGGGUGAGUUUGUUCUUACCCUAAAUCGUUGAGUUCUGGCCGAGUUGAAGUAUAAGGAUUGUGCUGUAGCAGUUUCAUCCAAGAUUAAAACAUUCCAUCCUGCAGGGAAGCUCUUUGAGCAGGAAGCAAACAACUCAGAACAGCUUCAGGAAGUUCCUGAAACUGACUAUGUUCACUAGCCGCAUCCGUCCCUCUCCCUCCCUCCCUCGCUCCCUCCCUCCCUCCUUCCCUCCCUCCCAAUAGUAAACAGUAAAGACAGUCACUCUCAGAUAAAGCAAGAAGACUUGAGACCAGCUCAGCUGCCUGGAAUAAUAGAGAAUAGCCAAGCAGUCUGAAAAAAAAAUGAGAGAGCAACAGAGAUGCCUGGAAGAGGAUUAGAGCAACUGAGCCACCUGCAAAGGACACUCUUUAUCCUAUUGAGCUGCCCGAAGGCUGUGCAAUGUGCUCCAGAUUGUCAACUUUUGUGAGCUGUCAUUCUAGGAUGGGCUUUGGUGAUGCAGCAGACAUUGAGUCAUUUCUACUCCUGUAAUGAACCACUUACCCAUCUUCUUGUAAGUGAUCCCAAUAAAACUUAUUGAUGGAUUGGA